rnacentral:rRNA from 1 species
CUAUACAUGACUCUGCGCAUAUCAAUAAGCGGAGGAAAAGAAACUAACAAGGAUUCCCCUAGUAACGGCGAGUGAAGCGGGAAGAGCUCAAAUUUGAAAUCUUAAAGGGUUUCCCUUUACGAAUUGUAGUUUAAAGAAGUGUUUUCUGUUGAGGUUUUGGUAAAAGUUCUUUGGAAUAGGACAUCAUAGAGGGUGAGAAUCCCGUAUUUGACCUUUACUUUCAACUUUGUGAUACACUUUCAAAGAGUCGGAUUGUUUGGGAAUGCAGUCCGAAAUGGGUGGUAAAUUUCAUCUAAAGCUAAAUAUUGGCGAGAGACCGAUAGCGAACAAGUACCGUGAGGGAAAGAUGAAAAGAACUUUGAAAAGAGAGUUAAACAGUACGUGAAAUUGUCAAAAGGGAAGCGUUUGACACCAGUGUUGUUUUUCUGAAAAUCAAUUAAAGAACUGUUUAUGCUAAGUUGUUUAGACUUUAUCAGCUAUCUGUUUAGUUUUGAGCUUUUCUUUAAUGCACUUUUCAGUUAACAAGUCAACAUCAAUUUCUUUUGCUGUAAAAAAGCUUGAGGAAGGUGGCUUGAGAUUCGUCUUAAGUGUUUAUAGCCUCUUGCCUAUGCAGUCGGAGAGAUUGAGGUCUGCAGCGUAGAUCCUUCGGGGCUAAAUGCAUUUGUGCUAAGUUAUAGCAUUUUAUAGACAACUUGUUGACUAUGAUUUGUCUUGUAGCUUACUCGCUUAUGUUAUUUUACCUACGCUUAGGAUGUUGAGCGCAUGUCUCUCUCU